rnacentral:rRNA from 1 species
AGAGUUCGAUCCUGGCUCAGGAUGAACGCUGGCGGCGUGCCUAACACAUGCAAGUCGAACGAGAUGCGUAUCGGAAAGCUUCGGCCGGAAGAUACGUUAUCUAGUGGCGGACGGGUGAGUAACACGUGGGUAACCUGCCUUAUGGAGGGGGAUAACAGAGAGAAAUCACUGCUAAUACCGCAUAAGCACACAGUACCGCAUGGUACAGGGUGAAAAGAUUUAUCGCCAUAAGAUGGACCCGCGUCUGAUUAGCCAGUUGGCAGGGUAAAAGCCUACCAAAGCAACGAUCAGUAGCCGAUCUGAGAGGAUGACCGGCCACAUUGGGACUGAGACACGGCCCAAACUCCUACGGGAGGCAGCAGUGGGGAAUAUUGCACAAUGGGGGAAACCCUGAUGCAGCGACGCCGCGUGAGUGAAGAAGUAUUUCGGUAUGUAAAGCUCUAUCAGCAGGGAAGAUAAUGACAGUACCUGACUAAGAAGCCCCGGCUAACUACGUGCCAGCAGCCGCGGUAAUACGUAGGGGGCAAGCGUUAUCCGGAUUUACUGGGUGUAAAGGGAGCGUAGACGGAAUGGCAAGUCUGAAGUGAAAUACCCGGGCUCAACCUGGGAACUGCUUUGGAAACUGUUGUUCUAGAGUGUUGGAGAGGUAAGUGGAAUUCCUGGUGUAGCGGUGAAAUGCGUAGAUAUCAGGAAGAACACCGGAGGCGAAGGCGGCUUACUGGACAAUAACUGACGUUGAGGCUCGAAAGCGUGGGGAUCAAACAGGAUUAGAUACCCUGGUAGUCCACGCUGUAAACGAUGAAUACUAGGUGUCGGGGUGCAAAGCAUCUCGGUGCCGUCGCUAACGCAAUAAGUAUUCCACCUGGGGAGUACGUUCGCAAGAAUGAAACUCAAAGGAAUUGACG